UACGGGGGGGGGCAAGCGUUGUUCGGAUUGACUGGGCGUAAAGCGCACGCAGGCGGCCGUGCACGUGGGGUGUGAAAGCUGGCGGCUUAACUGCCAGACGCCACCUCAUACGGCACGGCUCGAGCCCGUGAGAGGUCCACGGAAUUGCCGGUGUAGUGGUGAAAUGCGUAGAUAUCGGGAGGAACACCUGUGGCGAAGGCGGCCCCCCUGGUCGGAUACUGACGCUGAGGAGCGAAAAGCGUGGGGAGCAAACAGG
rnacentral:rRNA from 1 species